CCUACGGGCGGCAGCAGUGAGGAAUAUUGGUCAAUGGGCUUACGCCUGAACCAGCCAAGUCGCGUGAGGGAAGACUGCCCUAUGGGUUGUAAACCUCUUUUGUCAGGGAGCAAUUGGCGCUACGUGUAGCGUUAUCGAGAGUACCUGAAGAAAAAGCAUCGGCUAACUCCGUGCACGCAGCAGCGGUAAUACGGGGGAUGCGAGCGUGAUCCGGAGUUAUUGGGUUUAAAGGGUGCGUAGGCGGAAUGCCAAGUCAGCGGUAAAAUCGCGGGGCUCAACCUCGCUCCGCCGUUGAAACUGGCGUUCUGGAGUGGGCGAGAAGUAUGCGGAAUGCGUGGUGUAGCGGUGAAAUGCAUAGAUAUCACGCAGAACUCCGAUUGCGAAGGCAGCAGACCGGCGCCCAACUGACGCUGAAGCACGAAAGCGUGGGUAUCGAACAGGAUUAGAUACCCUGGUAGUC
rnacentral:rRNA from 1 species